rnacentral:lncRNA from 1 species
AUGCUGCUGAUGUUUUUUAAUAUGGUUUCUGGAUUUGCAUAUGAUUACAUGCAUGGCAUAUUACUUGGUGUUUGUCGCCAGCUGACUACCCUAUGGUUUGACUCCAAAUACCAUACAGAGCCUUGGUACAUUGGAAGAGAAAACGAGCAGAUUGAAAGAAGGUUACUUGCCAUUAAACCACCUACAAGUAUAACAAGACCACCCCGUUCAAUUUCUUUGCGUAAAUAUUGGAAAGCUUCGGAAUACAGACACUUUCUCUUAUUUUACAGCCUUCCCUGUUUGUUCGGCAUUUUACCCAGACAAUAUCUUGACCAUUUACUACUUCUAGUACAGGCUACAUACAUUCUCCUUCAAGAUUCAAUUUCCCCCCACGACAUUGACAAAGCUGAUGGCCUUUUAAAAGCAUUUGUGGGCCGUUUUGAGUCUCAGUAUGGAAAGUGUCAUGUGUCUUAUAAUGUCCACAUACUUGUACAUGCAGCAGCAUCUGUGAAAAAUUGGGGUCCUUUAUGGAGUCACAGUGCAUUCUUAUAUGAGUCCCAGAAUGGACACCUUCAGAAACUCUUUCAUGGCACACAAGCUGUAGCAGAACAAAUUGUUAACAUGUUUAACCUUUACCAACAUGUUCCACGACUCAUUGCUGCUGUAUUCAAUGAUGAACAAACACAGCAAAGCAAAAGCUUUGUUGAAAAAAUGUUGGGAGGCACCAGUAUUGUGACAAAGUGUAUUGGUAGUUCUAGCGUGAUGUUUCUUGGAUGCCCACAUGUACGACAGCCAACCCCAAGAGAGUCUCAUAUCCUUCAAGAGUCAGGUUUUAGUGCAAAUAAAGCUUUCAGUUUUUAUUCUAGGGCUGUGGUUAAUGGCAAGCGAAUUCAUUCAAAAGGAGCUAAAUCUUUAUCUAAAAGAAUCAACCAUGCAGUUCAAAAUCCCGCAGCUAAAUCCUCUUUAGGAGACGAUCCUGGCGCUUGCUGGACUUUCUUGGACGCCCUGAAGCCUUCUUUACAAGAAUUGAACCUCUUUCCUUGA